rnacentral:rRNA from 1 species
AGUAAGGAAUAUUGGUCAAUGGACGCAAGUCUGAACCAGCCAUGCCGCGUGGAGGAUGAAGGUCCUCUGGAUUGUAAACUUCUUUUAUCUGGGACGAAAAAGGGGCUUUCUAGCUCAACUGACGGUACCAGAUGAAUAAGCACCGGCUAACUCCGUGCCAGCAGCCGCGGUAAUACGGAGGGUGCAAGCGUUAUCCGGAUUCACUGGGUUUAAAGGGAGCGUAGGUGGGUUGGUAAGUCAGUGGUGAAAUCUCUGAGCUUAACUCGGAAACUGCCAUUGAUACUAUCACUCUUGAAUACCGUGGAGGUCAGCGGAAUAUGUCAUGUAGCGGUGAAAUGCUUAGAUAUGACAUAGAACACCAAUUGCGAAGGCAGCUGGCUACACGAAUAUUGACACUCAGGCUCGAAAGCGUGGGGAUCAAA